rnacentral:rRNA from 1 species
UACAGAGGGGGCAAGCGUUGUUCGGAAUUACUGGGCGUAAAGGGCGCGUAGGCGGCCUUCUAAGUCGAACGUGAAAUCCCCGGGCUCAACCCGGGAACUGCGUCCGAUACUGGAAGGCUUGAAUCCGGGAGAGGAAUGCAGAAUUCCAGGUGUAGCGGUGAAAUGCGUAGAUAUCUGGAGGAAUACCGGUGGCGAAGGCGGCAUCCUGGACCGAGAUUGACACUGAUGAGCGAAAGCUAGGGGAGCAAACGGG